rnacentral:lncRNA from 1 species
CAUAGGAAUCCAGGUCCCAUCCUCUCCUCACUCAAGGGAUCCAAGGCUGCCUCUUCCUCUUCCGUAGUGGUGUGGCUUUGCAGAAGUCACUUAAGCUCUCUAAUCCUCCUCCUCAGAGUGCCAGACUGCAGCUGCCACAUGAAGAGAGAGAGGGUCUCCUAUGUUUCCUAGGCCUGUCUUGAACUCCCGGGCUCAAGCGAUUCUCCUGCCUCAGCCUCCCAACAUGCUGGAUCACAGGCAGUGGCCACCUCGCCUGGCCAGUUUUCCCUUUACAAAAACUGGAAUGCUGAGCCGGGCCACAUCAGUCUUGGCUGGACUCACUGCCCACCUCUGGGACCUUGGCGGUGGGGCGGGAAGGAGGACCUCAAAGGCUCAGCGAGUCCACCCCCAGCCCAGCCACCAGCGCCAGCCUCCUCCUCCGCAACACCCAGGCCCUUAUCAGGAAAGGAUUUGGGUUGGUGGGGAGGGGUGGGGGGAAGUUGGAGGCCUCAGGCUCAGCAAGGUGGGUCGGAGAGAUAGGGAAGUGGGGAGGGGGCUGCGGGCCCCUGCUGGGCGGGGGAGGGCAAUGGGAGGGAUGCCCAGAAUGGGCACGGUGGGGGACUUUGGCCAAGCUCUGUCCUCGCUGGCCUGGACCUCAACAUGUUUCCAGGACUUCUGCCUCCCAUCCUUGCCAGGCAAGUUGCCUGCACCUUUAAUUAGCAAGCAGCAGUUUCUCUCCAAUUCAUCACGGUCGCUGUUUAAUUAGCCGAGCCCAGGGCGCCCCCACCCCCAGCUCUGCCUGCCUGUCCUACCAAGGCCACCACCACCUCAGGGUGUCCCCUGUUACCACCCCCCACAAUCAUUCUGCUCCCCAGAGUGGGGGAUGGGCCCGGCACGCCCAGCUGAAACCUCAAGGAGAUUCUGGGCACCGGCGCUUGUAUUCAAGGCAUUCAGCAAACAUGAUUAGGGACCGAGGCUGUGCCAGGCUGGCUCUGGGUAGAACCCCGGCCGGACAUGCGGGGCAGGCUCUGGUCCUGUCCAGCUGCUGGAGAAUGGCUUCUCCCUUGGGAGGCGCUGGCACAUCUCUCUGGCUUGGUCCCUGAGUGCUGGGAGGAGGCUGCAGUACUCCUGUGUGUCACUCCCACCCCACAUCCGGAAAGGGACACCAUGUCUUCCUCUUCCUCUCUCUUCCAGAGCCCAGAAAGCUCCUCUGAGAAUGCUGGACCUCAGGACAGGGGCCCAUGCUCUGCACCCGGCCCUCAGCAGCCAGAUCCUAGAGGCCCAGUCCAAGCUGUGGGCCAAGGGAGCGGGGCGGGCUGAGGCCUGCUUUGUGUCGGCAGGGUCUGGGGAAUUGGGAGCACUGGCGGGAGCCCAUGGUCCGGGGCCGAACCAGCCCCCUUCUGUUUCCCUGAAGAAGGGUGAGGCUGAGGGCCCUCGGAACAGAGCCCCUGUGUCAUUCUGUGCAGGGCCGGGAUAGCCACUAGUCACUGUGGGCAGAAGCAAGAAGCAGAGGCUCAGGCUCCAUCCCAAGCCUGUGCUCCUGCUGGGCUGUGGGAGGUGUGACCCUUCCACUGUUUCGUAGACUGAGAACAUGGAGGGACUGGCAUUUGCUGUGUUACCCUGUGGUGCCAUCAGCGUGUUGUGACAGGGGCAGGAGGAGUGUGCUAGAACCCACCCACUCUGGUACUGCCCAUCUCUGUGGCCUUGGGCCAGCCACCAAACCGUACCAUGCCUUAGUUCCCCUAUGAUUCAUAGCUGCUUCAUGGGCUGAUGUGAGGAUUAAACAGCUUACUAUGUGUUGGGUCUGGUUUUGUUUGGCUUUGUUUUGUUUUUUGAGACAAGGUCUCACUCUGCUGCUCAGGCUGGAGUGCAGUGGUGCAAUCACAGCUCACAGCAGGCUCCACCUCUCAGGCUCAAGCGAUCCUCCCAUCUCAGCCUCCCUGAGUCUCGCUCUUUUGCCCAGGCUGGAUGGAGUGCAGUGGCGUGAUCUCAGCUCGCUGCAACCUCCACCUUCCGGGUUCAAGUGAUUCUCCUAUCUCAGCCUCCUGAGUAGCUGGGAUUACAGACUCCAGCAUAACCUUCUCCAGGAAGCUUUUCCAGAGCCCCCAGGCUAGGAACCUCCCCCCAACCCCUGAACUCAAGCCCCAGCAGCCCGUGCCUGCGCCAUCUCCAUCAGAGCUGCAUCUCUCUGGGUCUCUGGGUAACAAGUGCCAUUUCUUUGUUGUUUUCUGUGUCCCCCAAGGACAAAGCUCAGGCUGGAUUCAUCUCGGAAUUCCCAACACCGGGGUAGAACUGGCUCAUUUCAAUUUCAGUCAAUGUUUGUUGAGGAAAGGAGUGAAGAGUUGGACACAUGAAUGAACGCAUGAAACAGUCCGGAGUGGGGAAGCUGAAGCUCAGGCAUCAGGAUCCGGGAGAAGCAUCCAGUCCAGGCGGACGGGGUGGAAGGUUCAGAGCAGGGGCCCCAAGUCAGGAGUAGGGAGGCAGACGGCAAGACCUCCUUCCAUGAAAGGAGGCUGGGACCAGGGGACCAGGUAGUGCAACGCGGUGAGGGGGCUGUCAGGGCGACUGGCCGGAGGAGUCAGAGGCAGGAGGCACCACCAGGUUACAGACAAGGACCUUCUACAAGAGGGAAACGUGUCAUGGGCUCUGGAGCCCCUGUCCAGGUUCAAAUUGUGACCCUGUGCCAGGGACAGCUUCUUUGUGCCUCAGUUUUUCCCAUAAAAUGAGGAUAAUAAUACUUCAUUCAUGCCUUUUUUUCCCCUCAACAAACAUUUGUUGUAUGUCUGCUGUGGGCCCAGGACAGGAGGCUGAGAAGGAGCUGACCACAGUGGUCACACAGCCAAGCCCUGCUGCUGAGAUCUGACCCCAGUUCGCCUGUCACAAGUUCUAUCUGUGCCUCGUUGUCUGCCUCCUGGGGCUGUUAUGAGGGCUGAAGAAGGGGCAGGCACAGAGGAGACACUUACUAUAUGAUCAUUGUCCUCCUAGAGUAUCAUCACCAUCAGGUGGACUUCAGUGGCCAUCCCAGGCCUCCACGGAUCAACCACAAGAUCUUGGAGAAUGUCCUUACCCUCCAAGCCUCAGUUUACCUUUAGGGUGACCAACCAUCCUGGUUUGUCCAAAACUGAGGGUUUUCCUGGCACAGUCCCAGGCAAACUGGGAUGGUGAGUCACUGAUAUAGUUUGACUCUGUGUCCCCACCAAAUCUCACCUUGAAUUUUAAUAAUCCCUAGGUGUCAAGAGCAGGACCAAGUAGAGAUAAUUGAAUAAUGGUGGCAGUUUCCCCCAUGCUGUUCUCAUGAUAGUGAGUGAGUUCUCACGAGAUCUGAUGGUUUUAUAAGCAGCUUCCCCCUUUGCUCAGUAUCACUCUCCCUCCUGCCGCCCUGUGAAGAGCUGCCUUCCACCAUGAUUGUAAGUUUCCUGAGGCCUCCCCAGCCACGCAGAACUGUGAGUCAAUUAAACCUCUUUUCUUUAUAAAUUA